rnacentral:rRNA from 1 species
GACGAACGCUGGCGGCGUGCUUAACACAUGCAAGUCGAACGAAGAGCGAUGGAAGCUUGCUUCUAUCAAUCUUAGUGGCGAACGGGUGAGUAACGCGUAAUCAACCUGCCCUUCAGAGGGGGACAACAGUUGGAAACGACUGCUAAUACCGCAUACGAUCUAACCUCGGCAUCGAGGAAAGAUGAAAGGUGGCCUCUAUGUAUAAGCUAUCACUGAAGGAGGGGAUUGCGUCUGAUUAGCUAGUUGGAGGGGUAACGGCCCACCAAGGCGAUGAUCAGUAGCCGGUCUGAGAGGAUGGACGGCCACAUUGGGACUGAGACACGGCCCAGACUCCUACGGGAGGCAGCAGUGGGGAAUCUUCCGCAAUGGACGGAAGGCUGACGGAGCAACGCCGCGUGAGUGAUGACGGCCUUCGGGUUGUAAAGCUCUGUUAAUCGGGACGAAAGGCCUUCUUGCGAAUAGUGAGAAGGAUUGACGGUACCGGAAUAGAAAGCCACGGCUAACUACGUG